CCCUUAGAUGUCCUGGGCCGCACGCGCGUUACACUGAUGCAUUCAACGAGCUUAUAACCUUGGCCGAGAGGCCUGGGCAAUCUUGUUAACGUGCAUCGUGAUAGGGAUAGAUUAUUGAAAUUAUUAAUCUUGAACGAGGAAUUCCUAGUAAACGCAGAUCAUCAAUCUGCAUUGAUUACGUCCCUGCCCUUUGUACACACCGCCCGUCGCACCUACCGAUUGGAUGGUCCGGUGAAGCCUCGCGAUUGUGGUUCUUGCCGCUUUAUUGUGGCGUGACCGCGAGAACUUGUCUAAACCUUAUCAUCUAGAGGAAGGUGAAGUCGUAACA
rnacentral:rRNA from 1 species